rnacentral:misc_RNA from 1 species
UCUCCGUAGGUGAACCUGCGGAGGGAUCAUUACCGAGUUUUUCUACUCCCAAACCCCUGUGUACUUAUACCUGUCCUGUUGCUUCGGCGCGUUAACGCCCCGGAAGGCCCAAAAAGCCGCCGGAACCAGGCGCCCCCCGGGGGACCCAAACUCUUGUAUUUCUUACUUUGCAUGUCCGAGUGGUUUCAUAAACAAAUGAAUCAAAACUUUCAACAACGGAUCUCUUGGUUCUG